AAUGGGAACUCGGAAUGAUCCGAUUGGAAAAAAUAUCGAUUUGAACGGUCAUUCAACUCGGGAACUCGGGACUCUUUCUAGAGCGCCGAGUUUCCGGCCUGAAGAUCACUGACGUUAUGAUUUGACUUGGUAUUUUUCAGAGUUCCCAGUUGUGUUGAACGCGGCAUAUGGCUUAAUGGCUGUGGUAACUAGUGACGACCGACGGACUUUUGUUUUACUACCCUUCAAUAUUUUGUUUUAACGGAAAAGUAACGAUAUUUCUGUUUGUUCUUGAGAUGUUAUCUACAAAAUUCCAGAUUUAGCAACAACUUUGGGGAGUUCCUGUUUCUAAAAUACACCGAAUCUGAGUGAAGAAAGCGCGAAAUCAACAGUUUCCAUGGCGAUGAAGCUUCGCUACUACUUGUUGUUUGCAGGCGCUGGUUGAUUUCCACAUGUUAUCCCAUACGGCUAGCUAGCUAACCAACUGAUAAUGUCAUCUGGAUUUCAAAAUUCCAUAUCCAAAGAUAGUAAUUUAUCUAUUUACAAAUCCUCUGAAUUGUUUGAUGGUUUAUUGCACGAGAUUCCAACAACAAGUACAAAUGACACCAGCACUGUCCCUAGAAGGUACAACAAUCUGGAUGAGUUGAGUGAGGAGCUUGACAGACGAACCAAGGAGACUCAAAUGCUGCAAGAAGAAGUGGAACAUGCAACUAAAAUGACCAUAGAGAAAAUGGGACGCACAUGUCCCAGCAGCUCACCUUCACAAAUUAAUUACUUUCCCAUCUUUAUGGAUGGUUCAUCGGAGGAGAACUCAGAAGUGCUGUCUGUGAUCCAACCUCUUACAUAUGGCCUGGAGCUGGUCAGAAGUGGCAUAACUUUCCCUGGGAAAGAUGUUUUGGAAAAUGCAAUAGGGGACUACUCUCAACAGGUGUCGGAGCUCCAAAAGCAGCUGAGUGAGACACAUGAGCUUCAUGAACAGCAGAAGUUCUACUUCCGUCAGUCCAUCAUCAAGCUGCAGACAAAAUUGCAGGAGUUCCAGAUUGAGAAAGAUGCCCUGACUGAUCUAAGAAUGAAAGAGAGCAGAAAACAGGCAGAUGUCAUGGGGAAAAUGCAAGCAAUGAUCAGGGAGCUGCAAGCCGCUAAACAGACCGGGGACCAGAGGCUACUGGAGGCUGAGGAUGAAGCAAAGUCACAGAGCAGGAGAACAGAGUCAAGGGAGCGGACACUACAGGAGGUGUACUCCACGCUGUUGGCUUACGAAAAACGUUGUGGAAACAAUUUGUACACUAGCCAGGACGCACUGGGUGUUGCAGUGGAGAAAGUAUUACACGACUUGGAGCAUGCAAAUCACAAUCUGAGAGAAAGCCUUCUGCUGCUGAAGGAACAGAUGGAGACUCAAGAACAGAAAUGCCAAGAGAAAGCAGAGAUCAUGUUGAAUGAGCAAAGGGAAAGAAUGAAGCAGCUCACUACCAGUCAUGACCAGGAGGUGGCGAUAUUGACUGAGAAAUUGAGCAGCUCCAGAGGCAGAGCCUCCAGCUUGCAUGUCCAGGUGGAGUUGUUACAAAAACAAGGUGAAAGCCAGGCUUCAGUGCACCAGUGUCAGGUCAAUGACUUGGAGUCAGCUCUCUCCGUCCUGCGCUCCGAACUACUGGACACCCAGCAGGGCCAUGAAGACAAGGUGGGUGCUCUGGAGAUGCUGUUGGCCGAGGCCCAGUCUCAGGCGGGGGAGGCCCAGAGAGGGAGAGAUAGAUCCCUCCAGCAGACAGAGGAGCUGGACUCUCGGCUCUGCCAGCUCACGUUGUUGGGUGAGAAGCAUCAGCGGGAGCAGCAGAAGGAGCUGGCUGUGGUGCGACGGGAGCUGGAAUUGACCUCAGACCAGCUGUACAAGGUCAAGGACGAGGAGCUGCGGCUGCAAGCCCUGAAGGGUGACCGGGACGAGGAGCUGAAGAAGGUCCAGGCGCUGCUGGAGGAGAGGGACAGGGAGCUGCAGCUGAGGCAGCAGGAGGCGCAGCAGGGACGGGCCAGGCUGGAGGAAGCCCAGGGCAUCUGCCAGGCCACCAGGGCAGAGACUGAGGUGCUGAGACUCAAGCUGGAGGACCGGGAGAAGAUGGUGGACCUGCUGCGGCUGCAGAUGGAGAGCACCACCCAGAUGACGGUGCAGCAUGGACGUAGCAUUGACUCCCUGCACAAUGAGAAGAGCCGCCUCAGCAACCAGCUCAAUGAGCACAAGCUGGAGAUCCAACAGUUAAGGACAUGCUUAGAGCAGCGUGAGGAGUGUUUGGCGGUGCUGGAGCAGGAGAGGCGAGUACAGCAGGCUGGUCUGUCCAAACAGAGCUGCUGUGUCAAGGAGCUGACGCUGGAGAAACAGCAGCUUACCGCUGAGCUAGAGGUGCAACGCAUGCAACUGGUCUGCCUCACAGAGGAGCAUGAGGAGUUGAAGAGGCUCCACAGCAGUAAGAGUGAAGAGCAGGAGGGCGUGGUGGUGGGUCUGAAGGCCCAGCUGAAGACCACCCGGGCUGAGCUGGACCAGGCCAGGAGCACCCUGAGGACCCUGGAGGGAGCGGACGGACACGGCCUGAAGGUUGCCAUGGGGAUGCAGAAGCAGAUAACAGCCAAGCGGGAACAGAUUGACACUCUCCAUGGCCGAAUCCAGCUCCUGGAGGAGACCAUGGACAAACUGACCGAGGAGAAGCGUUACCAGAGUCAAGAGAGUAAGCGUCAGAUCCAGCUGCUGGCUUCAGUCACUGAGGAGAAGAGGCAGGUGGCAGCGGAGGUGGAGACCGUCCGCUCCCUGGAGAGACGGCUCAGGGAGAAAGUGGCCAAACUGGAGACGGCCCUACACAAGAUGUCCGAGAGCUUUGUCCACUGUCAAGACUUCAUCCAGUUGCAAGAGCAGGAGUUUGUACGGCUGAAGCUGCAGCAUGCUCUGGAUGUGACGGGCCAAAACCUGCGAGCCACAGGGAAUGCUCAGCGUGCUUCCCUCUCCAGCCCAACAGCCCUGACUGCUCUGCCCUCCAGCCAAUACGGCUCAAAGUGCCUGCUAGAGUUGAAACCCCAGCAGCUGCUGGAAAGCCCCACCACGGAGCUGCGUUCCCUAGUCAAAGAGCUACGAGGUGUGAUUUCUGAAAAUCCUGGACCACACACCAACAAAAGCACCCUCAGAAGGAGCUCUGUUCCAGAGAGAGAUCACAGGACCACACUCAACGAAGUGACCAAAAAUGUUACAAGCAAUGCCAAAAUGAUAAAAGGGACUAACAGCAGGCCAUGACUUCUCUUUUGCUGCAUCUCUGCCUUCCUACACAUCGUCCCCACGAGCCAUGGCACUGGGCCGCAGGUCCCCUGUACACUCACUUCUGACCUCUGACCACAACCCCACACCUCCACCACAGAGCAGGCCUCAGGCAGAAAGCCCUCUCACAGACACACACACCUUGGCCAAUCCGCAGGCUGAGUUGACAGGACACACAUGCAAGCACUUGCAAGGAAAACUGGACAGCCUCCAAAACAUAGUGGAGGACUUGCAGAUGAAGAACCAAGAAAUGUCCUCUAUGAUAAAGGGUCAGGAGAAGAGGAUGAGAAAUGUCAAAGACAAAAGGAAGCUUUAGAACAAUCAAGGCUCUGAGUGAAUGUGUACUUGUAACAAAAAUAAAAUUGUAUUUAAAAGUAAAGGCACUAUGAUCGUUAUGGUGAAUUGUCUUUUAUUAUGAAUACAAUUUGUCCAUGGCAUGUUACUAUCAACAUGGCAAAAAUGACACCAAAUAUCGAGGAUUGGCACCAAAUAUGAUGACAGGAGGAUAAACAACAGGCUAGCAGGAUAUUCUUGUUAUUCAUGAAAGAUGUCAUUAGUCAAGGUAACUGAGGAUGAUCUUUGAUGUACAUGCAUUGACAGCCAGUCUGAUUUGGAAACUCAUGAAAAAUUAGGAGAACCUUUGUAGCAGCGUAGCGUCAAAUGUUUUAUGUCAGUUUGUUUUGACAAAUUGAGUAUACUACUGUGUAACUGCCCAACAUAUUACCUAUUGAAACCUGCCUAAAGUACCACUGUCCCCUUCCGUGUUGAAGCAGAGCCUGCUCCAUCUGGCUUUGAUCGGUUGUCUCCCUCCUCUUCUUCAAAGAGAGUACACAGAAACUGAAA